rnacentral:lncRNA from 1 species
GCAAGGAUGAUGGUGAGGCAGAGGAGGCGGCCCCGAGGGAGCGCCCGGCUGAGAGGCGGGGGGCCGAGGGGCCCGGGGAGCGGGCGUCACCGAGGGCCCUGGAAGCGGCAGGGCUGGGGGAGAGGAGACGCGUGUGUGGAGCAUGGGGACCCCAGCCCAGCUCCCACUUGCAGACCUGGGCCGCGGGCUGCCGGCCGAGUGGCCGGGGGGCCUGGCUGCCCAGGAGGCGGGCCGGGGCCGCGGCCGGGGGCGCGGAGCGGAGUUAGGGUCGCCAGGCCGAGCCGAGGUGGGACGGACCGACGCAGAGAGGAAGGGAAGCCACCUGGCCUGAAGAUCCUGUCUCUAAGAUCCCAUUCUGAGGCUUCGAGGGUCUGGCUUGAGCAGCACAGACAGGGACGUGUCUAACCGGGAUGACCAUGAGGUCUCAUCGCAGUUUGCCACUAACCAGGUAGGCAUGCUCAGACCUCUCAGAUGGAGAAUGUGUAAAAUGCCUGUCACGAGGCCUGAUAUGUACCUGUACCUGAUAUGUUGUACCUGGUAUCUGUCAUCCCAGUGGAUGUGGC